rfam:Tupaia belangeri cont1.017499, whole genome shotgun sequence.
ACCAAGCCAACGCAAGGGGUCCUGAAGUGGGGUCUGGAAAAGCGGUAUGGAGUGUGAGGUGUAGCCCCCGAAGAACGGGGA